rnacentral:lncRNA from 1 species
UCCCCAAUAAGUAAGUUCUACAUUUGAGGAUGGUCCAUUAAAUGGCCAAGGCUUCUAAUUCGCAAACUGCUUAUCUCGUUUCAGCGUCGUUCAAAAAUCGUGAGCCACACUGAAUUAAUUUACUGGAGCCAACACCGUGGAUUUGUAGAAGAGCAAAAUCAAUUCCCCAAAGAAGACGUGAAACAUAUGUCAAAAGUGUAAUACGAAAGUUCGAUUCGAAGUGAGCGAGAAUAUAGCCUUUUGGAUCUGUGACGAAGCGUUUGUGUAGCAUGUGCUAAAUCUGGAAGCAAUUGAUUUAAUUGAUUAGCAAGGCCAAGGAAUGAUCUGAGAUCAGUCAAAUUGCUCGGUGAAGGAAAUUGGGCAAUGAUUGUGACUUUGUGGGUCUGUUGAUAUGCCGUUGGACGAAACAGUCUUGGCCUCCUCUUCCUCCCAUUCUAACUCAGAGUUGAAUCUCUUCUCCAUUUCUUCCGGAGUGGGAGUUGGUACAAAUUUCCCUGCAGCUGACUUUUUCGGACUCCGACUCCACCAACAAAGGAACGAACUCCGACUCCACGUGUCCGACGCUGCAACCCAGGCAUUAAGAGCAUUGACAUAUUUUGGGGGAAAUAUUCAUGUUUAUAAUGUAUUCUAAAUGAUCUAAUCUAUUCUAUUAUAUAACGGAAUAAACGAAGAACAGAAAAAACGUCGACAAAGACAUCACAAAGGACCAACAAGUAGAACUGAGCUGGACUGCCGUCCUAAAUAAGGACCGGUACAACACUAGUAAUUGUUAAUUUUCUAAAAGAAGUGUGGCCAAUAGCCAUGCCAAUCCCUCCUGUCAAGUUCAUUUCCGGACUUAGAUCUGUCCUAGGACUGAUUUACUAAUCUGUAUCUCCCCAUCAGCAUUUUUUUAUCGGUCCAAUCCACCAGACAUCAGGAAAUUCGUUUCAUUAAAAGAGGUAUCAUAAAGCUUCCCCAUGUGAAAUUAUGCAGUUAGGAACUACGUCGUUUUAACUGUUGUUUUUAGUAUAAAAGCCUGAUGAGGACCCAUCCUAGGAAUGACAAAUUUUAUUAGAACCGGGCAGAUAGGACUGCAGUGUUUCCAGCUUUUUUAAAAGCUAUUCAACAUUUAUGAGUAUGAAAAAUAAUUCGUAGAUUAUAAUCAACAUUCCAAAUAUGAAAGCGAUACAAAAUAAUACAAUACGUCCUUAGAAAUACUAAAAACUGUUCGCUGUGGAGUUUUCUAAGAGUAUUAUUUUAUUUUACUUGCAUUAAACUUUUAAUAGUUAUAAUUUUAUGCAUUUAUGUACGUAUUUUUGAAUUUGUCGCAGUUUUUUUACUUGCGCUAUGGUUCAAAUUUGAUAAUUCUCAAAUUGUACUUUUCUGCUUCUAUUCGUUUAAACAAAUAUAUGUGAAUAUGCAUAUAAAAAAAUAUAGUCAAAUAUAUCUUAUAAGGAAAAUGCA